AUGUAGUGGAGUAAAAGUGAAAGUUGACAUAAAUUUAAAUAGCGAAGUAAAGUACAGAUACGUGAAAUUUGUACUUAAGUACAGUAACAAAGUAUUUUUACUCCGUUACAUUACAACACUGUUUUUGCUCAAUAAAAAUUGGGUGAUCUGCCACUAAAGGUGACAUUUAUUAUGUUAAUAAAGGUGUUAAUUUAUUUUAUGUUAUUAGUUAAAGCCAUAGAAAGGCAAGAGGGAACAUAUAAUUUUGUUUCAUUGGGGAAUUAUUUGAUUGUUGCUAUCGAGAACACUUCUGCAUUUAGUGCCCCCCGAAAUGUUGCUAUCGAGAACACUUCCGGGUACUACAUGCAGAAAAGACGCACGAGGUACGCGCUAGUGAUGUCUGUACAAGUUGCACUUGAAAGAAGUUAAUAUUGCUGUUUUUUGUUUGAAGAAGAAGAAACAGUUAAAACUCAAGUUUAUUCCUCUUGAGUUAGAGAGGCCAAUGAGUUGGGGCAGUGGUGGCUCAACUGGUUAAGGCUCUGGGUUGUUCAUCAGAGGUUCAGACAUCAGAGAUAUUUUCUAAUACUGCUUCCUACAAUGUAACAUCAAGACAGCCAUACAUAUAAUACACCACUGGAAACCUCAACUCAACGCUC